GACGAACGCUGGCGGCGUGCUUAACACAUGCAAGUCGAACGAAGAGCGAUGGAAGCUUGCUUCUAUCAAUCUUAGUGGCGAACGGGUGAGUAACGCGUAAUCAACCUGCCCUUCAGAGGGGGACAACAGUUGGAAACGACUGCUAAUACCGCAUACGAUCUAAUCUCGGCAUCGAGGAUAGAUGAAAGGUGGCCUCUACAUGUAAGCUAUCACUGAAGGAGGGGAUUGCGUCUGAUUAGCUAGUUGGAGGGGUAACGGCCCACCAAGGCGAUGAUCAGUAGCCGGUCUGAGAGGAUGAACGGCCACAUUGGGACUGAGACACGGCUCAGACUCCUACGGGAGGCAGCAGUGGGGAAUCUUCCGCAAUAGACGAAAGUCUGACGGAGCAACGCCGCGUGAGUGAUGACGGCCUUCGGGUUGUAAAGCUCUGUUAAUCGGGACGAAAGGCCUUCUUGCGAAUAGUGAGAAGGAUUGACGGUACCGGAAUAGAAAGCCACGGCUAACUACGUG
rnacentral:rRNA from 1 species